GGCACAGGAAGCUCUGGGUGGUUUGGCUCCAGCUCUUGAAAACAAGCUCCUUGUUUGCCCUCCUGAGUUGAUGGUCUGGUGGAGAAUUUGUCUGAAGGAAUUUGUUCCAGGAAAGGUCCAGCUGCAUUUGACAGGAAAGGGAGAAAAGAGAGAAUGAGGCAUAAAUCUCUGGCCUUCUGCCUCUUGCUUGGGAAUCUGUCCUUUCCAGCCUGCACCCACACCCUUGGAGCCCAAAACCAUGCCAUGCACAUGUAACCAACCAGCUACAUGUGAAGGUCACAUAAAGGUGUUCUUGUCCUGGCUCCAGCUAAGGUUCCAGCUCUCAGUCAGCAUCAAUUGUGGAAGUGGGAGUACAUGAGCUUUUAGAUGAUUUCAGUCCCCUGCCUUUGACACCAAGUGGAACUGAGAUGCUCUUUCCACUGAGCCCUGGUCAAACUGCAGAUUCAUGAGCAAAAUAAACACCAUCAUCACUGAAGCAA
rnacentral:lncRNA from 1 species